UACAGAGGGGGCAAGCGUUAUUCGGAUUCACUGGGCGUAAAGGGUGCGCAGGCGGCCAAGUGUGUGAGGCGUGAAAGCCCGGGGCUUAACCCCGGGAUUGCACCUCAAACUACAUGGCUAGAGCAUUGGAGAGGGUAGCAGAAUUCAUGGUGUAGCAGUGAAAUGCGUAGAUAUCAUGAGGAAUACCAGAGGCGAAGGCGGCUACCUGGACAAUUGCUGACGCUCAGGCACGAAAGCGUGGGGAGCAAAAGGG
rnacentral:rRNA from 1 species